rnacentral:tRNA from 1 species
UGACGGCUAGUGUAACUCUGCACAUGUAAAUUUGGAUUACAAGGAGGAACAACUACGUCCGCCCUCAC